rnacentral:rRNA from 1 species
UACAGAGGGGGCAAGCGUUGUUCGGAAUUACUGGGCGUAAAGAGCGCGUAGGCGGCCCGUUAAGUCGGAUGUGAAAACCCGUGGCUCAACCACGGGCCUGCAUCCGAUACUGGCGGGCUCGAGGCAGGCAGGGGAGAUCGGAAUUCCUGGUGUAGCGGUGAAAUGCGCAGAUAUCAGGAGGAACACCGGUGGCGAAGGCGGCAUCCUGGACCAAUAUUGACGCUGAGGAGCGAAAGCCAGGGGAGCAAACGGG